GCCAGGCGUGGUGGUGUGUGCCUGUAGUCCCAGCUACCGGGGAGGCUGAGGCUGGAGGAUUGCUUGAGUCCAGGAGUUCUGGGCUGCUGUGCGCUAUGCUGAUCGGGUGUCCGCACUAAGUUCAGCAUCAAUAUGGUGACCUCCCAGGAGCGGGGGACCACCAGGUUGCCUAAGGAGGGGUGAACUGGCCCAGGUCAGAAACGGAGCAGAUCAAACUCCUGUGCUGAUCAAUGUGAGUAGUUUUUGCUAAGGAAUUUAGCAAAAAGCUUUGGUAUUUUCUUUUUCUCU
rnacentral:SRP_RNA from 1 species